ensembl:snRNA U6 U6 spliceosomal RNA
GUGCUCACUUUGAGAGCACACAUACUAAAAUUAGAACAAUACAGAGACGAUCAGCCCGGGCACGGAUGACACGCAUAUUCAGAUAGUGUUUCACAUUUUUU